rnacentral:rRNA from 1 species
GGAAAUGACAGCAGCCUACACAUGCAGUCCGAACGGUAACAGGAAGCAGCUUGCUGCUUCCGCUGACGAGUGGCGGACGGGUGAGUAAUGUCUGGGAAACUGCCUGAUGGAGGGGGAUAACUACUGGAAACGGUGGCUAAUACCGCAUAACGUCGCAAGACCAAAGAGGGGGACCUUCGGGCCUCUUGCCAUCAGAUGUGCCCAGAUGGGAUUAGCUUGUUGGUGAGGUAACGGCUCACCAAGGCGACGAUCCCUAGCUGGUCUGAGAGGAUGACCAGCCACACUGGAACUGAGACACGGUCCAGACUCCUACGGGAGGCAGCAGUGGGGAAUAUUGCACAAUGGGCGCAAGCCUGAUGCAGCCAUGCCGCGUGUAUGAAGAAGGCCUUCGGGUUGUAAAGUACUUUCAGCGGGGAGGAAGGUGUUGUGGUUAAUAACCGCAGCAAUUGACGUUACCCGCAGAAGAAGCACCGGCUAACUCCGUGCCAGCAGCCGCGGUAAUACGGAGGGUGCAAGCGUUAAUCGGAAUUACUGGGCGUAAAGCGCACGCAGGCGGUCUGUCAAGUCGGAUGUGAAAUCCCCGGGCUCAACCUGGGAACUGCAUUCGAAACUGGCAGGCUUGAGUCUUGUAGAGGGGGGUAGAAUUCCAGGUGUAGCGGUGAAAUGCGUAAAGAUCUGGAGGAAUACCGGUGGCGAAAGCGGCCCCCUGGACAAAGACUGACGCUCAAGUGCGAAAGCGUGUGGAGCAAACAGGAUUAGAUACCCUGGUAGUCCACGCCGUAAACGAUGUCUACUUGGAGGUUGUGCCCUUGAUGCGUGGCUUCCGGAGCUAACGCGUUAAGUACACCGCCCGAGGGAGUACAGCCGCCAGGAUAGAACUCAAAUGAAUUGACGGGCGGCCCGCACAAACGGUGGACCAUGUGGUUUAUUUCAAUGCAACGCGGAGCAGCAUUACCUGGAUCUUGAUCAUCCCACAGAGGAAUCGGAAGAUCGGAUUUCGUGCCUUCCGGCAACUGUGAAACUAGGGGCCGCGAGGGCCGACCGCCCACCCCCUCCUCCGCAAAUGUAUGGAUUUAAUUGCCCUCCACCCACCGGCAACCACUUAAACCCCCGCUU